GACAGAGGUGCCGAGCGUUAGGCGGAAUCACUGGGCUUAAAGCGUGUGUAGGCGGAUCGUUAAGUACCUUGUGAAAUCCCACGGCUCAACCGUGGAACUGCUGGGUAUACUGGCGAUCUUGAGCCACCUAGGGGCGAGCGGAACAAGCGGUGGAGCGGUGAAAUGCGUAGAUAUCGCUUGGAACGCCGACGGUGAAAACAGCUCGCUGGGGGUGUGCUGACGCUGAGACACGAAAGCCAGGGGAGCGAACGGG
rnacentral:rRNA from 1 species